CUUUACUAUAGCCUGGAAUUGUGUUCGGGCUUCGCUUACGCAGGAUAGGUGGGAGGCUGUGAAGUUCUGCUUGUGGGCAGAAUCGAGCCAACGGUGAGAUACCACUUUAGCGAGGCUAGAAUUCUAACCCUUACCCGUCAUCCGGGAAGGAGACAGUUUCAGAGGGAUAGUUUAACUGGGGCGAUCGCCUCCUAAAAGGUAACGAAGGCGCGCAAAGGUUCCCUCAGGCUGGUUGGAAAUCAGCCAUAGAGUGCAAAGGCAGAAGGGAGCUUAACUGCAAGACCUACAAGUCGAGCAGGGUGGAAACACGAUCUUAGUGAUCCGACGGUGCCGCAUGGAAGGGCCGUCGCUCAACGGAUAAAAGUUA
rnacentral:rRNA from 1 species